rnacentral:lncRNA from 1 species
GAAGUUCUAGCCAAUUGAAAAUUAUGCUCUAUACCAAUAUGGAAAGAUUGAUAAAAACUAUAAAAAUAUGGUAUUCAUUUGAAUAACUAAUUAUGCCUCUUAAGUGCCUUAAAACUGAAUAGAUCUAUUACUGUUCAGAAACUCGUCAGAAUAAGUUAGCCAUCUUUGAACUGCAAUAUCUCUGAAACCAUUUGGCCAAAAAUUAUGAUCUAGGACUUUGUGGAUAAAAUUCUGAGUCUUCUACAAAUACUUAUAUAGGUGGAAAAAUAUAUUCGGACUAUAACAUGGCCAUAUUCGAAGAGGAAUUGAAACUAACAAAUCUGUCAGCCAGCGGAGACUAAUCACGAGAUCCAUCUCUAAUGCCCCCUCUAAUAAAAAAAACUAAAAGUCAGCCCUAAAACUCGUCCAAAAAUAUGGGAUCAGAUCAAAACCAUCUCACCUCGAUCCUCCAAAAGCCUAGGGUUUGUGCAGCCCCUUCCUAUCCUUCCCUUCUCUUCCUU